AUUGAACGCUGGCGGCAUGCCUUACACAUGCAAGUCGAACGGCAGCACGGGUGCUUGCACCUGGUGGCGAGUGGCGAACGGGUGAGUAAUACAUCGGAACAUGUCCUGUAGUGGGGGAUAGCCCGGCGAAAGCCGGAUUAAUACCGCAUACGAUCUACGGAUGAAAGCGGGGGACCUUCGGGCCUCGCGCUAUAGGGUUGGCCGAUGGCUGAUUAGCUAGUUGGUGGGGUAAAGGCCUACCAAGGCGACGAUCAGUAGCUGGUCUGAGAGGACGACCAGCCACACUGGGACUGAGACACGGCCCAGACUCCUACGGGAGGCAGCAGUGGGGAAUUUUGGACAAUGGGCGAAAGCCUGAUCCAGCAAUGCCGUGUGUGUGAAGAAGGCCUUCGGGUUGUAAAGCACUUUUGUCCGGAAAGAAAUCCUUGGCUCUAAUACAGUCGGGGGAUGACGGUACCGGAAGAAUAAGCACCGGCUAACUACGUG
rnacentral:rRNA from 1 species